CUUUGGGAUAACCCUCGGAAACGGGGGCUAAUACCGGAUAUUACUUUGUGCCGCAUGGUGCUUGGUGGAAAGUUUUUCGGCUUGGGAUGGGCUCGCGGCCUAUCAGCUUGUUGGUGGGGUGAUGGCCUACCAAGGCGACGACGGGUAGCCGGCCUGAGAGGGCGACCGGCCACACUGGGACUGAGACACGGCCCAGACUCCUACGGGAGGCAGCAGUGGGGAAUAUUGCACAAUGGGCGGAAGCCUGAUGCAGCGACGCCGCGUGAGGGAUGACGGCCUUCGGGUUGUAAACCUCUUUCAGCUCCGACGAAGCGUAAGUGACGGUAGGAGCAGAAGAAGCGCCGGCCAACUACGUGCCAGCAGCCGCGGUAAGACGUAGGGCGCGAGCGUUGUCCGGAUUUAUUGGGCGUAAAGAGCUCGUAGGCGGCUUGUCGCGUCGACUGUGAAAACCCGCGGCUCAACUGCGGGCCUGCAGUCGAUACGGGCAGGCUAGAGUUCGGUAGGGGAGACUGGAAUUCCUGGUGUAGCGGUGAAAUGCGCAGAUAUCAGGAGGAACACCGGUGGCGAAGGCGGGUCUCUGGGCCGAUACUGACGCUGAGGAGCGAAAGCGUGGGGAGCGAACAGGAUUAGAUACCCUGGUAGUCCACGCUGUAAACGUUGGGCGC
rnacentral:rRNA from 1 species